AGCACCGGCUAACUACGUGCCAGCAGCCGCGGUAAUACGUAGGGUGCAAGCGUUAUCCGGAAUUAUUGGGCGUAAAGGGCUCGUAGGCGGUUCGUCGCGUCCGGUGUGAAAGUCCAUCGCUUAACGGUGGAUCCGCGCCGGGUACGGGCGGGCUUGAGUGCGGUAGGGGAGACUGGAAUUCCCGGUGUAACGGUGGAAUGUGUAGAUAUCGGGAAGAACACCAAUGGCGAAGGCAGGUCUCUGGGCCGUUACUGACGCUGAGGAGCGAAAGCGUGGGGAGCGAACAGGAUUAGAUACCCUGGUAGUCCACGCCGUAAACGGUGGAUGCUGGAUGUGGGGCCCGUUCCACGGGUUCCGUGUCGGAGCUAACGCGUUAAGCAUCCCGCCUGGGGAGUACGGCCGCAAGGCUAAAACUCAAAGAAAUUGACGGGGGCCCGCACAAGCGGCGGAGCAUGCGGAUUAAUUCGAUGCAACGCGAAGAACCUUACCUGGGCUUGACAUGUUCCCGACGGUCGUAGAGAUACGGCUUCCCUUCGGGGCGGGUUCACAGGUGGUGCAUGGUCGUCGUCAGCUCGUGUCGUGAGAUGUUGGGUUAAGUCCCGCAACGAGCGCAACCCUCGCCCCGUGUUGCCAGCGGAUUAUGCCGGGAACUCACGGGGGACCGCCGGGGUUAACUCGGAGGAAGGUGGGGAUGACGUCAGAUCAUCAUGCCCCUUACGUCCAGGGCUUCACGCAUGCUACAAUGGCCGGUACAACGGGAUGCGACGCGGCGACGCGGAGCGGAUCCCUGAAAACCGGUCUCAGUUCGGAUCGCAGUCUGCAACUCGACUGCGUGAAGGCGGAGUCGCUAGUAAUCGCGAAUCAGCAACGUCGCGGUGAAUGCGUUCCCGGGCCUUGUACACACCGCCCGUCAAGUCAUGAAAGUGGGCAGCACCCGAAGCCGGUGGCCUAACCCCUUGUGGGAUGGAGCCGUCUAAGGUGAGGCUCGUGAUUGGGACUAAGUCGUAACAAGGUAGCCGUACCGGAAGGUGCGGCUG
rnacentral:rRNA from 1 species